rnacentral:rRNA from 1 species
GAAUUUUGGACAAUGGGGGCAACCCUGAUCCAGCCAUCCCGCGUGUGCGAUGAAGGCCUGCGGGUUGUAAAGCACUUUUGGCAGGGAAGAAAAGGCUCUGGCUAAUACCUGGAACUGCUGAUGGUACCUGCAGAAUAACCACCGGCUAACUACGUGCCAGCAGACGCGGUAAUACGUAGGGUGUAAGCGUUAAUCGGAAUUACUGGGCGUAAAGCGUGCACAGGCGGUUCGGCAAGAAGGAUGUGAAAUCCCAGGGCUUAACCUUGGAACUGCAUUCUUAACUGCCGGGCUAGAGUAUGUCAGAGGGGGGUAGAAUUCCGCGUGUAGCAGUGAAAUGCGUAGAGAUGCGGAGGAAUACUGAUGGCGAAGGCAGCCCCCUGGGAUAAUACUGACGCUCAUGCACGAAAGCGUGGGGAGCAAAC